GAUGAAGAACGUAGCGAAAUGCGAUAAGUAAUGUGAAUUGCAGAAUUCAGUGAAUCAUCGAAUCUUUGAACGCACAUUGCGCCCUCUGGUAUUCCGGGGGGCAUGCCUGUUCGAGCGUCAUUAUAACCACUCAAGCUCUCGCUUGGUAUUGGGGUUCGCGGUUCCGCGGCCCCUAAAAUCAGUGGCGGUGCCUGUCGGCUCUACGCGUAGUAAUACUCCUCGCGAUUGAGUCCGGUAGGUCUACUUGCCAGCAACCCCCAAUUUUUACAGGUUGACCUCGGAUCAGGUAGGAAUACCCGCUGAACUUAAGCAUAUCAAUAAGCGGAGGA
rnacentral:misc_RNA from 1 species